UAGAGUUUGAUCAUGGCUCAGGAUUAACGCUGGCGGUGCACAUAAGACAUGCAAGUCGAACGGGAAUCGUUAUUAAUGGAAAUAAGAUUUAUCUGAAAUAAGUUAAUAACAAUGAUUUUAGUGGCGGACUGGUGAGUAACACGUAAGCAACCUGCCUAUUAGAGGGGAAUAACAGUGAGAAAUCAUUGCUAAUACCGCAUAAGCUGACAAUAUCGCAUGAUAUAGUCAGAAAAGGAGAAAUCCGCUAAUAGAUGGGCUUGCGUCCGAUUAGCUAGUUGGUGGGGUAAAGGCCUACCAAGGCAACGAUCGGUAGCCGAGCUGAGAGGCUCAACGGCCACAUUGGGACUGAGAUACGGCCCAGACUCCUACGGGAGGCAGCAGUCGGGAAUAUUGCACAAUGGAGGAAACUCUGAUGCAGUGACACCGCGUAUAGGAAGAAGGUUUUCGGAUUGUAAACUAUUUUAGACAGGGAAGAAAAAAGACAGUACCUGUAGAAUAAGCUCCGGCUAACUACGUGCCAGCAGCCGCGGUAAUACGUAGGGAGCAAGCGUUAUCCGGAAUUAUUGGGUGUAAAGGGUGCGUAGACGGGACAGCAAGUUAGUUGUGAAAGCCCUCGGCUUAACUGAGGAACUGCAACUAAAACUAUUGUUCUUGAGUGCAGGAGAGGAAAGCGGAAUUCCUAGUGUAGCGGUGAAAUGCGUAGAUAUUAGGAGGAACACCAGUGGCGAAGGCGGCUUUCUGGACUGUAACUGACGUUGAGGCACGAAAGUGUGGGGAGCAAACAGGAUUAGAUACCCUGGUAGUCCACACUGUAAACGAUGGAUACUAGGUGUGGGGGACUGACCCCCUUCCGUGCCGCAGUUAACACAAUAAGUAAUCCACCUGGGGAGUAC
rnacentral:rRNA from 1 species